rnacentral:rRNA from 1 species
GGACCCGCACAAGCGGUGGAGCAUGUGGUUUAAUUCGAUGCAACGCGAAAAACCUUACCUACAAUUGACAUACUGCGAAUUUUCUAGAGAUAGAUUAGUGCCUUCGGGAACGCAGAUACAGGUGCUGCAUGGCUGUCGUCAGCUCGUGUCGUGAGAUGUUGGGUUAAGUCCUAUAACGAGCGCAACCCUUACCCUUAUUUGCCAGCGGUUCGGCCGGGAACUAUAAGGGAACUGCCGGUAAUAAGCCGGAGGAAGGUGGGGACGACGUCAAGUCAUCAUGGCCCUUACAUGUAGGGCUACACACGUGCUACAAUGGGAGAUACAAACGGUUGCCAAAGCGCGAGCUGGAGCUAAUCCGAGAAAGUCUCUCGUAGUCCGAAUUGCAGUCUGGAACUCGACUGCAUGAAGCCGGAAUCGCUAGUAAUCG